rnacentral:rRNA from 1 species
UACGGUGAAUACCGUUCCCGGACCUUGUACACACCGCCCGUCAAGCCAUGGAAGCUGGGUGUACCUAAAGUCGAUAACCGUAAGGAGUCGCCUAGGGUAAAACUAGUAACUGGGGCU